rnacentral:rRNA from 1 species
CGCCUCUUGAUAAAAUAUAAGAGGUCCAGCCUGCCCAGUGACAUAGUUAAACGGCCGCGGUACCCUGACCGUGCGAAGGUAGCAUAAUCACUUGUUCUUUAAAUGGGGACUCGUAUCAACGGCAUCACGAGGGCUUUACUGUCUCCUUUCUCCAAUCAGUGAAACUGAUCUCCCCGUGAAGAAGCGGGGAUGACAAUAUAAGACGAGAAGACCCCAUGGAGCUUUAAACCCAACGACACCCCUCAACCCCCCAACCCAUUAUAGUUGCUACAGCCCUGUUCGUUGGUUUUAGGUUGGGGUGACCGCGGAGUAUAAAUUACCCUCCACGACGAAUGGGACUACCCCCUUACCCAAGAGCUACUCCUCUAAGGAUCAACAGAUUGACGUAAAAUGAUCCAAGCAUUUGAUCAACGGACCAAGUUACCCUGGGGAUAACAGCGCAAUCCAUUUCAAGAGCUCCUAUCGACAAAUGGGUUUACGACCUCGAUGUUGGAUCAGGGUACCCAAGUGGUGCAGCCGCUACUAAUGGUUUGUUUGUUCAACAAUUAA